rnacentral:lncRNA from 10 species
GAGAAAGUUCUAGAAUAAAAAUACCUUUCUGAUUUUAAAAAUUGUGUUUAUUGUAGAAAAUGUUUUUCAGAAAAGAAAAAUCAACUGCAAUCUCACUACCAACAGAUAACCACUAUUCAUACUUUGGCAUAUUUUCUAUAUGUUUGUUUCCUCUGCAAUAUUUUGACAGAUAUGAGAUCACUGUAAUAUAUAGUUUUGUAUUCUCAUCUUGGUACUUAAUGUCAUAUAUUGAGCAUUUUUGCAUUCAUAAAUAUUAGUAGUAAUGUCUAUAUAUUAAUCCACAUGUGUAUACACUAGUUUAUAUAACUUCACCUAUUGUUCAACACUUUGAUUAUAUUAAAUAUCAAGUUAACACCAUACUAAAUCAACUGUUUGAUCAGCUAUGAUAAAAAUGUGUAUACACACAUUUAAGAUGUAUGUACAAAGCCAAUUAAAGCACAACAAAACAACACAAUAAGUAAUCACAUAAUUCUUUACGUAAUUUAUUUAGCCUAGAUGUAAAACAAAGUUUUGAAGUUAUAGGAAACUAAAUUAGUCUGAGUGGUCUGUAUGUGAAUCUGGGGAACAGGGAGACAUCCACCUCUAUCCUCAACCCCAUCCUUAGUAGUCAAUGCCAAAACCAUACUGGGCAAGUGUGGGGGUGGGGAGAUUCUAAUACCCAGAGGAAGAAAAUAACACUUUCCAAUGGUUCAUGUCAACAGCACACCAUCCAGGCUGCAUGGUUUCCAUUCCCCCUACUCGAAGGGCCAUAAAUGAUUCCAUGUGUGAACACAUAGUAGCUGAUUCAUGGUGCACUGGGGCCAGCCAUAAGCUAUAUAUAUGUAUAUGGUGUUAUUUACUCAAUUAAUCUUUGCCCCCUGAAUACAGCGGCAAAGAUUCUAAUUAUUGUUUCCAAAACGACACUCAUUAAAAUGCCAACAGCCAUUCUAUUCUUGUCUUCUUUGAGAUUCUUUGUUUCGAUUAUCAUUUAAGAGAAAAACCAGCUGCCAUGCAGCCUAACAUAUUGCAGUCAAACCAUGCCCAAUUCGCCUAAUAUAUCAUCAUUCUAAUGAUUCUGUAAUUUUUAAAGCUGGAAGAUAUAUGAAAUGUUAUAGCAGUGACAGCACAUUAAAAUGGUUCUUCUACCCCUUUCCAAAUUCCAGUUCCACCUCCCUAUCCAAAGCCCAAAUCUCUCUGAUGGCUACCGCGAAUGUCAAAAAUCAGGGUCUACAAUACUACCAGAAGUGUGGAAAAGAAACUUGAGUCCCCUUUUCUUCCAAAUGCUCUCCAAAGGCUCAACUAGAAGUUCAUGGUGAAAUUGCAGUCUCUGAUAACAACAUGUGAGAGAUGCUGUCACUGGCUGCUUUUCAAGGGGAAUGGUUAUUAGAGUCACAUUUGGUCUUAUAAACUAAGUGAAAAGGAUUUGUAAGGAAUAAACAGAAAAGCCUGGGAAACAAAAGUUUCCUCCCUCAAAAUAUAAAGUAGCUUUUUAUACAAAGAAUUAGGAUGUGGACAUCUCAGCCUCCCAGCUUUGCCACUUUUGUUCUAUUAUCUAGUGAAGCAACUGAAAAGGAGCCAUAAUCUAGAGCUAAAUCCCAGAUCCCGAAAAGACUACAUGAGAAUGACUGGCUUGACACACAGGAGCCUGAAGGCCCAACAUACUGCAAUAGGAAAUAGUAUGAUGAUGUAAUGCAUUGGAACCAGAGGCUCAAUAAAAUGGGUGCUGUGCUGAAUCAAGUGGAGGAAGAAGCUAUUAAAUUCUAGGACUGUGCAAGGAUUCUCCCUUAGCGAGCCCAUUCUGAGCAUCAGCAGCUCACUCUUCCACAUGUCAGCGCCAUUGUAACCAGUUGCCUGUCUCCCAAGGGGAACAUGACUGGCCAACAAAUGCAUUAUGCCUUUUCUUCUUCCAGAAGUUUCCUUAGUAUCAAAAGUCAAAAAACCUGGUAAAAGCUUGCAGAGAACACCACUGCCUUAUUGGAAUUCCCUGAAAGGGGCCAGUCUUGGUAUUUUUCUGAAAGCCAAGCAAAACAGGCAAAUCAAAGCAGGGCAUACAUCCGUCUCCACAAUUGCCUCCCUUCCCACUGGCAUGCAUUUCACCCCAGUUCUGACACCCCUGGUUUAUCUCUGAUGCCCCCAGCUAAUUCUCACACUCCAUUGGAAAGGUGGCCUCAAGGGUACUGUUCGUGUCACCAUUCAGGAGACUUUUCACCCUUAAACCUGGGACUUUGCCAGACAGACAAACAAAAAAAUCUCAGAUGAAGCAUGAGGGCUGAGGAAGGGAUUUGUUUUUCCUUGAUGACACGACUCCAGAAGAUCACCUAAACAGUAUCCUCAAAUGAUUAAUUUCACAGUUCUUUUCUCUGAUUUGAGGAUAAUUCCAUAGAAGUGUAUUAUUUUGUUGUUUUUUAACCUGGGUUCAUUUCCCAGCCAGCUCUUCGGAACCCCCUCACCAUACUGUUGAAUUCUCCCUCUAGCCUCCCAUAAACAGAACUACUCAAAGGCCUAUCUGGAAGCCUGCCAUCCCCCUCUAGCCAGAGGGCCCGGAGGCAGACCUGCAGGCUGGAGCUGGUGCAUCCUCUGGAGAUGAGGCAGGAAGGGCUGGCCCCUUUUUUGGUGGCAGCUGUUUCAACCUUAGCAGGCAGCUGGCAGCAGCCCCCUUUGAAGCCCCAGCAAAGAACAAUGAUUCCAACAUCCUCUUCAGCAGCCACCAGCUCCAUCUCACAUCUCCUUCCGGCCCACACUGCUCCUGUCACAGUGAUUAUGGAGGCAGCAGUUGUGCUGUAAUUAGGAUCCUCCUGGGCCAGACAAUCUCAGUGAGAGCAAGAUGCCAGCUGCUCCAUCGCCAGCAGCAUCUCCUUGGCACCCCGUCCUACUCGGCACUCUUCCUCUCUUCCAAACUCUGUCCUGUCCUCUUGGCCACUGGAAUCACCAGCCAGGCUGAGACCAAGCACACAACUUAUGCUCUGCCCCGGAUUUAAGGUUAUUUCUUUUCCUGGCUCACUGAGAGCAACUCCAGCUCAAGACCAGGUAGACAGCAAUGGGUAGUCAAGUCAUUCCAAGUAACGGCUUUUUCGAAGGACUUUGAACGAACAAGAGCCAGGAGAUGCUGAAAUGGCUCCUACAACUGUUUCCAGAUGAAAAUGAGGGAGCCCACGUGGCAUGUGAGCAAUUCUCCUCCUCCAUUCUCUGAUUCCUGGGACCAGAAUAAAAAUGCAGUGACAAAAGCUGACUCUCCUAUGAGAAACCAGAAGGCCCACAGCCUAGCAAAGCAGGCUGAUCUAACUGCGCUGCCCAAGACCCAAGAAAUCUUAGUGCCAAGAAGUCUGUUUUCUUACUAUCCCCACUUUCAUUUUCCCUUCUCAUCAUUUGUCAAACUUGCCCAAAUAUAACAUUUCUACCUUACAAGGGAUAGUGGGUAUUUUUAAUUCCCAUAACCCUCCCUAUGGCUCAAAAUAAAGGCAUUGUAAGAAAGCGGUUCCACAUUCGGGCAAUGCUUUCCUACUCCCUCUGGCCGA